rnacentral:rRNA from 1 species
GUGGGGAAUCUUCCGCAAUGGACGAAAGUCUGACGGAGCAACGCCGCGUGAGUGAUGAAGGUCUUCGGAUUGUAAAGCUCUGUUAAUUGGGACGAAAGAGCCUAGUGUGAAUAAUGCUAGGAAGUGACGGUACCGGAAUAGAAAGCCACGGCUAACUACGUGCCAGCAGCCGCGGUAAUACGUAGGUGGCAAGCGUUGUCCGGAAUUAUUGGGCGUAAAGCGCGCGCAGGCGGAUCUGCCAGUCUGUCUUAAAAGUUCGGGGCUUAACCCCGUGAUGGGAUGGAAACUACAGAUCUAGAGUAUCGGAGAGGAAAGUGGAAUUCCUAGUGUAGCGGUGAAAUGCGUAGAUAUUAGGAAGAACACCAGUGGCGAAGGCGACUUUCUGGACGAAAACUGACGCUGAGGCGCGAAAGCCAGGGGAGCGAACGGGAUUAGAUACCCCUGUAGUCC